GGUGGCUCAGCAGUAGAGUGCUUGCCUUGCAUGCAUGAGGCUCUGGGUUCAAUUCCCCAGCACCA
rnacentral:tRNA from 1 species